GAUGAACGCUGGUGGCGUGCCUAAUACAUGCAAGUCGAGCGAACGGACGAGAAGCUUGCUUCUCUGAUGUUAGCGGCGGACGGGUGAGUAACACGUGGAUAACCUACCUAUAAGACUGGGAUAACUUCGGGAAACCGGAGCUAAUACCGGAUAAUAUUUUGAACCGCAUGGUUCAAAAGUGAAAGACGGUCUUGCUGUCACUUAUAGAUGGAUCCGCGCUGCAUUAGCUAGUUGGUAAGGUAACGGCUUACCAAGGCAACGAUGCAUAGCCGACCUGAGAGGGUGAUCGGCCACACUGGAACUGAGACACGGUCCAGACUCCUACGGGAGGCAGCAGUAGGGAAUCUUCCGCAAUGGGCGAAAGCCUGGCGGAGCAACGCCGCGUGAGUGAUGAAGGUCUUCGGAUCGUAAAACUCUGUUAUUAGGGAAGAACAUAUGUGUAAGUAACUGUGCACAUCUUGACGGUACCUAAUCAGAAAGCCACGGCUAACUACGUG
rnacentral:rRNA from 1 species